GCCCUGGUGGCACAAAUGGUUGAGCGCUUGGUUGCUAACCAAAAGGUUGUUGCUUCAAAUCCAUCCAGUGGUU
rnacentral:tRNA from 1 species